UUGCUAGUUGGCGGGGAAAAGAUAUUAUAGCCUCUAGCCUUUGCUAGUUGGCGGGGACGAGAAAGUGUUGUCUCUAGCCUUUGCUAGUUGACGGGGGACAGCCUCUAGCCUUUGCUAGUUGGCGGGGGGAACAUGUACUCCUGUUGGUUCAGGCAGUGCCUUAGUUUAGUUUAGUGAUAAGUUAAAGUUGUAAUUUAUAAUUUAUCAACAUUGUAUUAAUGUUCUGUUUCUUCAGUAAAUUUCAGGUUCAUCAUGGCUUCCCUUACACAUGUUUACAAAUAUUUUCUGUGUGCAUGAAAAUAAUUACUAAUUUUAAUAUUAUUAUAUUUUUAACAAUAUUAUAUUAUUGUAUUCAAUAUAAUUGUUCUGUUUCUUGAGUAUGUUUCAGGUUCAUCACAUGGCUUCUCUUUCACAUGUUUACAACUAUAUACUGUGUGCAUGUGAUCAGUUUCUAAUAUCAAUAUUGUAUUUAAUUUGUUACAAUUUUUAUUAUUUUAUCUAAUGUUAUUCAUUGUAUUAAAUUGUCCUGUUCCUUAAUUUGUUUACAGGUUCAUCACAGCAUCACUUCUCUAAUAAUUAUAAACACAAUCGUCGCAGCUAUCCAUUCAUUUUUGCUCUGAGUAAAAUGGUGUCUUUGAAUUUACAUUUUACUCUGUGAGUAAAAUGGUGUUUUUGAUUUACAUCCAAUAACAAUGGAUUCUUUGAGUAAUUAUCUUAUAUCUUGAAUUUGUAUUUUUUAUCUACACUGUAUUCAAUCCUUUUGUUUCAGUUUCAGAGUGUUUCAGGUUCAUCUUUUUAAACGCUCAUAUUUUUCAUCUCAGCUCAUCUUUUUAAACGCUCACAUCUUUUCCUCCAUGCUUACUGUGUACAUGCUUUGAGUGACCCAUGUUGCAUUUAGAACAACUCAAGUUUUUUGUCAACAUGAAUUUUCUCAAUUUUUAUGUUUCUCAAGUACGUUUCAGAUUCAUUGCGGCUUCUCUACUUAAAGUGCGCACAUGCUCACAACUUUUUUUUUAUUUGAGUGUGAUGCCCGCAUGAGAUCUAGGCUUGUGCAUGGUUGAUGAGGCGGAUGAUAAGAUAUGAAUGCACCUACAGUUUGAGUUUUACAGUUUCAUUUCUUCAUGUUUUCUGAGUGCAUGCUUCGAGUGAUCUAGGCGUGUGCAUGAGUAAUGAGGUGGAUGAUAAUUAAUAAGAGAUGAAUGCACAUACAGUUUUAGUUUUGUCUCUUCAUUUUUAUUGAGUGCAUGCUUCCAGUGAUCUAGGCUUGUGCAUGGGUAAUGAGGCGGAUGAUAAUAAGAGAUGAAUGCAUUUGCAGUUUUAGUUUUACAGCUCUAUCUCUUCAUGUGUUUUGAGUGCAUGUUUAGGAUGAUUUAUGUUGCAUCUUGAACACGUUGUGUUGUGGUCAUUUGUUGCAUAUUAUAUAUUCACUUUUAUGCAUAAUAUGUGAUGAAAAACAUGUGUUAUAAUAAUAUUAUAUGUUGUAUGUUGCAUAAUAUUCACUAUAUGUCUUGAAUGAGCUGUAGGCAUAUAAUAGAUCGGAUUAACAGUCGGUUAAAUUUUAACCGUGAUUAAUUUCACGAGAACCAAUCUGAGAUGGCCUUCUUGAUAACACGGCUUCUCUGAUUGGCUCUCGUGGAAUUAAUCACGAUUAAAAUUGUACUGUUGGAUGCAAGAAGGGCUUCAAGUCACUCAAGCCCUUUUUGCGUAAAACGCUUAAACCAAUUCCAGCUGGUUUUCUGUACAUGCCUGCUAAAUCUCGUUUCUGUAUCUUUAAAACUGACUGAGAUAUGAAAAUUUUUGUGAAGCACUGUUGGUCAACCUAUAGCUUGUUGGCCUGAUGCGUUUGUUUACAAGUUGAGUUGAAUAGUUUCUGCAAAAGUUAGAAGUUUCCUUUUAAAAGUUAAUUUUCUAUUUAAUGAGUUACUGUUCAAUCAAUAGGCUAUUCAUUGAAUUAUAUAGUAAUCAGAACAGUUAUUGUUUGACAAUGAUGAUGAUGAUUUGGACAUUCAAAGUGAUGAAGAAAUAAUAAUAGCACAUAAACAAGAUUAAGAUUUUAAAUUAUUCCAUGACUUUUCAAAUAUAUGUAUUUUCAUUUCAGUUGACCAUCUAAUCAAUUUUCCAUCUUAUAAUCAAUAGAAAUUAUUAUAAAACACAUUUUUUAUGUUCUCAUUUCAUUUUAUGCAAGAAGGGCCUGAAAAGAUCUUUUUUGAAAUGAUUACCCAUUAUUUUACAAAUAGAAUUCUCAAUACAAAAGAAAUAAUGAAUAGAAAAAAUAUUAAAUUUUAAUGCAAUGGUUACUUAAGUGAUACAUCUUGACUGAGAAUAAAAAAUUAUUCUGUUCCAAAUGUUUCAGGGCAUUUUUCUCAAAAUCGAAUUUUUGGACUCGGGCCCUUCUUGCAUCCAACAGUACAAUUUAACUGGCUGUUGUGCAACCGGCACUUAACACUUCAUUAAAAAAAGAAUGUAUGAGACACUCCUCCAAAGAAUCAUGGUUUGAAGGUUCUAUAUGCACGUAAAGAAACGUUUAUGGAAAGACAUCAUCAGUUAUCAAUGAAGAGCAGCGUCACUAUAUAUGGAUCGGUGAAUUUGGUAUGAGGUAUUUGGUAUUUAUAUUAUGUUUAGACAGGCUAGAACUUCUUAACACUUUCCCAUAACACAGAUAUUUAGGGAUGGGAUGUUUGUGGCGGUUAGUAUUAUAACAUGGUUUAUUCCAACCCUCUCGGCAGUGCCAAGUUCUAUCCGGUUGGUUCUGAGUCCAAUGGAUGCUUUCAAGUUAGAGUCAACUGACCUGCAGAUCGCAUUUCCGCGUGCCAACAACUGGACGAACAUGUGCUACUGUUUGAUUGUGGUCUGUGAAUGGCUGUGGUGUAAGACAAUCACUAUAAAUAGGGCUUGAGUGGUUAGGGUCCCCGUAGGAUAUUUGCAGUUGUCAGUCGAGUAUUUCAUUUCUGAUCAGUGCCCUUUGUGGCGGUCUCACAGCUUUUUCAUGAUGGUUGCGGGCUCAGUACAGCACUAAUUUGAUGGGCAGGUGGGGUACUGUUACACUGUGGCCUGGUCUGAUUUGUUCUAUGAGACUGGCGAUGUAAAUAUUAGAUUAAUGCUGGAUUAAGAUUAGAUUUAAGGCUGAAGUAAAAGUGAAGUAUAGCCUCUAGCCUUUGCUAGUUGGCGGGGGAUAGCCUCUAGCCUUUGCUAGUUGGCGGGGAGAAGAAAGUAUAGCCUCUAGCCUUUGCUAGUUGGCGGGGGACUAGAAAGUAUAGCCUCUAGCCUUUGCUAGUUGGCGGGGGGAUCAUUCACUCCUGGUGGUCAGGUAGUGCAUUAGUUUAGUUAUAAGUCAUUAGAAUUAAGAAAUUAGAAAUUUAAGUUUAGAUUUAAGAUUGGAGUGAUAUUAGUAAAGUAAAGCCUCUAGCCUUUGCUAGUUGGCGGGG